rnacentral:rRNA from 1 species
GACGGGGGGGGCAAGUGUUCUUCGGAAUGACUGGGCGUAAAGGGCACGUAGGCGGUGAAUCGGGUUGAAAGUGAAAGUCGCCAAAAAGUGGCGGAAUGCUCUCGAAACCAAUUCACUUGAGUGAGACAGAGGAGAGUGGAAUUUCGUGUGUAGGGGUGGAAUGCGCAGAUAUCAGGAGGAACACCGGUGGCGAAGGCGGGUCUCUGGGCCGAUAUUGACGCUGAGGAGCGAAAGCGUGGGGAGCGAACAGG